GCCGUAUUUUUAUUAGCUAUGUGCGUAUCUUCGUUCGUCGCAGUGAUCGAUUCACAUUAAGGUUUGCUAUAUUCGCAUUCCGUUUGUUCGCAUUGAUUCGCUAUUUGCAUGUAUUCGUUCUUCGCAGGGAUUCGCAUUUACAGAUAGAUAAGUAGAUGUUUUCAUCAUACCAACAUUGCAGCAUAGCUAGGCGGAAUUGCAUGUAUUGUACAUGCAAAUGUUUAGAUUAAG